CAACAUUGCAACCUCUAUCUGCAACCUUCCUUACUGUUCCUUCCAAUCGAUCUCCAUCCUUACUUUCUCAAACACCAUGUUUACCAUCUUCUCCUUAACCACAAAAGAAAAUAUGGUGCUUGUCAAGAGCCUCCCUCCUACUUCUUACUAUGGUCCAAUCAAUUGGAUCGACUCCCCCUUUUGUAAUAGAAAAUCCAUCCCGAGUUUAUGGAUAGUAAAGUUUAAGCCGAUUACCAUUGAUCCGUGUCAUAAAUUUAGUACCUAUAAAAUCUUCCAAUUGUACUAAACCAUUUGGAAAUCCGUCAAUAACUUGAUAUGG
rnacentral:lncRNA from 1 species